CCCUUAGAUGUCCUGGGCCGCACGCGCGCUACACUGAGUGUCUGAGAUACGAGUCUGCCUGGUCCAGCAAGGUCUAGGUAAUCGCUAAAAGACACAUCAUGCUUGGGAUAGAUUUUUGCAAAUAUUAAUCUUGAACGAGGAAUUCCUAGUAAGCGCAAGUCAACAGCUUGCGUUGAUUACGUCCCUGCCCUUUGUACACACCGCCCGUCGCUACUACUGAUUGGAUGUUUAAGCGAGGUUCUCGAACUGCUAGCGACUUAGCUUCGGUGAGGUCGCAGUGUGGGAAGUGAACCUAGCUUUGGUGUCUAGAGGAAGUAAAAGUCGUAACA
rnacentral:rRNA from 1 species